rnacentral:rRNA from 1 species
AGAGUUUGAUCCUGGCUCAGGAUAAACGCUGGCGGCGUGCCUAAAACAUGCAAGUCGAACGGGCGCCCUUCGGGGUGUCAGUGGCGGACGGCUGAGUAACACGUGGGUGACCUGCCCGGAUGCGGGGGACAACCGCCCGAAAGGGUGGCUAAUACCGCAGAUGUCGCCGAUUCGGUUCGGUGACUAAACCCGUAAGGGGGCGUUCGGAGGGGCCCGCGGCCGAUUAGCUGGCUGGUGGGGUGACGGCCUACCAGGGCGACGAUCGGUAGCUGGUCUGAGAGGAUGAUCAGCCAGACUGGGACUGCGACACGGCCCAGACUCCUACGGGAGGCAGCAGUUAGGAAUUUUGGGCAAUGGGGGGAACCCUGACCCAGCAACGCCGCGUGGGUGACGAAGGCCUUCGGGUCGUAAAGCCCUUUUCCCAAGGACGAUGGUGACGGUACUUGGGGAAUCAGCCCCGGCUAACUACGUGCCAGCAGCCGCGGUAAUACGUAGGGGGCGAGCGUUGUCCGGAUUCAUUGGGCGUAAAGCGCUCGCAGGCGGUCGAUCGCGUCGCGCGUGAAGGCCCCCGGCUCAACCGGGGGUGGUCGCGGGAUACGGGUCGACUGGAGGUAGGUAGGGGGACGCGGAAUUCCCGGUGUAGUGGUGGAAUGCGUAGAGAUCGGGAGGAGCACCGGCGGCGAAGGCGGCGUCCUGGACCUGGCCUGACGCUCAGGAGCGAAAGCGUGGGGAGCGAUCCGGAUUAGAUACCCUAGUAGUCC